rnacentral:rRNA from 1 species
UACGUAGGGGGCAAGCGUUGUCCGGAAUCAUUGGGCGUAAAGGGCGCGUAGGUGGCGGGACAAGCGUGCGGUGAAAGCUCGGGGCUCAACCCCGAGUCGGCCGUGCGAACUGUUUUGCUUGAGCACUGUAGAGGCAGGCGGAAUUCCGGGUGUAGCGGUGGAAUGCGUAGAGAUCCGGAAGAACACCGGUGGCGAAGGCGGCCUGCUGGGCAGUAGCUGACACUGAGGCGCGACAGCGUGGGGAGCAACAGG